rnacentral:rRNA from 1 species
AGUGAACGCUGGCGGUAGGCCUAACACAUGCAAGUCGAACGGCAGCACAGUAAGAGCUUGCUCUUACGGGUGGCGAGUGGCGGACGGGUGAGGAAUACAUCGGAAUCUACUUUUUCGUGGGGGAUAACGUAGGGAAACUUACGCUAAUACCGCAUACGACCUACGGGUGAAAGCAGGGGAUCUUCGGACCUUGCGCGAUUGAAUGAGCCGAUGUCGGAUUAGCUAGUUGGCGGGGUAAAGGCCCACCAAGGCGACGAUCCGUAGCUGGUCUGAGAGGAUGAAGAGCCCCACUGGAACUGGGACAGGGCCCAGACCCCCAGGGGGGGCAGCAGGGGGGAAAUUUGGACAAGGGGCGGAAGCCUGACCCGCCCAUACCGGGGGGGUAAAGAAGGCCUUGGGGUUGUAAAGCCCUUUUGUUGGGAAAAAAAAGCAGCAGGUUAAUCCCCCGCUUUUCUGAGGGUACCAAAAAAAAAAGCACCGGCAAAUUUCUG